rnacentral:misc_RNA from 1 species
GAUGAAGAACGCAGCGAAAUGCGAUACUUGGUGUGAAUUGCAGAAUCCCGCGAAUCAUCGAGUUUUUGAACGCAAGUUGCGCCCGAAGCCAUUCGGCCGAGGGCACGUCUGCCUGGGUGUCACGCAUCGUUGCCCCCCCAAACUCCGGUUCGGGCGGGGCGGAAGUUGGCCUCCCGUGUGUGCCUGCGCGCGCGGUUAGCCCAAAAGCGAGUCCUCGGCGACGAGCGCCACGACAAUCGGUGGUUUUUUUACCCUCGUUCCUCGUCGUGCGUGUCCCGUCGCCCGAACGCGCUCUUGUGACCCUCACGCGUCGCCUCGGCGGCGCUCCCAACGCGACUCCAGGUCAGGCGGGACUACCCGCUGAGUUUAAGCAUAUCAAUAAGCGGAGGA